rnacentral:rRNA from 1 species
CGCGUAGGCGGUCUGCUAAGUUCCGUGUGAAAUCCCUCGGCUCAACUGGGGAACGGCACGGAAAACUGGAAGGCUUGAGUUCGGGAGAGGGAAGCGGAAUUCCGGGUGUAGCGGUGAAAUGCGUAGAUAUCCGGAGGAACACCGGUGGCGAAGGCGGCUUCCUGGACCGACACUGACGCUGAGGCGCGAAAGCUAGGGGAGCAAACG